rnacentral:rRNA from 1 species
CCUACGGGAGGCAGCAGUGAGGAAUAUUGGUCAAUGGGCGCAAGCCUGAACCAGCCAAGUCGCGUGCGGGAUGACGGUCCUAUGGAUUGUAAACCUCUUUUGUCGGGGAGCAAGGCCCGCCAUGUGUGGCGGGAAGGAGAGUACCCGAAGAAAAAGCAUCGGCUAACUCCGUGCCAGCAGCCGCGGUAAUACGGAGGAUGCGAGCGUUAUCCGGAUUUAUUGGGUUAAAAGGGUGCGUAGGCGGAAGGUUAAGUCAGCGGUAAAAUGUCGGUGCUCAACACCGGCCUGCCGUUGAAACUGGUCUUCUUGAGUGAGCGAGAGGUAUGCGGAAUGCGUGGUGUAGCGGUGAAAUGCAUAGAUAUCACGCAGAACUCCGAUUGCGAAGGCAGCAUACCGGCGCUCAACUGACGCUGAGGCACGAAAGCGUGGGGAUCGAACAGGAUUAGAUACCCGAGUAGUC